rnacentral:rRNA from 1 species
UACGAAGGGGGCUAGCGUUGUUCGGAGUUACUGGGCGUAAAGGGCGCGUAGGCGGCGCACCAAGUCAGGCGUGAAAGCCCUGGGCUCAACCCGGGAAUUGCGCUUGAGACUGGUGUGCUUGAGUACGGGAGAGGAUAGUGGAAUUCCCAGUGUAGAGGUGAAAUUCGUAGAUAUUGGGAAGAACACCGGUGGCGAAGGCGGCUAUCUGGACCGAAACUGACGCUGAGGCACGAAAGCGUGGGGAGCAAACAGG